UACCAGCACCCCGAGUGGUCGGGACGAUUAUUGGGCCUAAAGCAUCCGUAGCCGGCCUUACAAGUCCCCCGUUAAAUCCAACUGCUUAACAGAUGGGCUGCGGAGGAUACUAUAAGACUAGGAGGCAGGAGAGGCAAGCGGUACUCAGUGGGUAGGGGUAAAAUCCGUUGAUCCAUUGAAGACCACCAGUGGCGAAGGCGGCUUGCCAGAAUGCGCUCGACGGUGAGGGAUGAAAGCUGGGGGGGCAAACCGG
rnacentral:rRNA from 1 species